rnacentral:rRNA from 1 species
CGGCAGCACGGGGGCAACCCUGGUGGCGAGUGGCGAACGGGUGAGUAAUAUAUCGGAACGUGCCCUGGAGUGGGGGAUAACGCAGCGAAAGUUGCGCUAAUACCGCAUACGAUCUACGGAUGAAAGUGGGGGAUUCGCAAGRACCUCAUGCUCGUGGAGCGGCCGAUAUCUGAUUAGCUAGUUGGUAGGGUAAAAGCCUACCAAGGCAUCGAUCAGUAGCUGGUCUGAGAGGACGACCAGCCACACUGGAACUGAGACACGGUCCAGACUCCUACGGGAGGCAGCAGUGGGGAAUUUUGGACAAUGGGGGCAACCCUGAUCCAGCAAUGCCGCGUGAGUGAAGAAGGCCUUCGGGUUGUAAAGCUCUUUUGUCGGGGAAGAAACGGUNCNNCUUAAUACGMUGNNCUAAUGACGGUACCCGAAGAAUAAGCACCGGCUAACUACGUGCCAGCAGCCGCGGUAAUACGUAGGGUGCAAGCGUUAAUCGGAAUUACUGGGCGUAAAGCGUGCGCAGGCGGUUAUGUAAGACAGAUGUGAAAUGCCCGGGCUCAACCUGGGAACUGCAUUUGUGACUGCAUGGCUAGAGUGUGUCAGAGGGGGGUAGAAUUCCACGUGUAGCAGUGAAAUGCGUAGAGAUGUGGAGGAAUACCGAUGGCGAAGGCAGCCCCCUGGGAUAACACUGACGCUCAUGCAC